CCUACGGGAGGCAGCAGUAGGGAAUAUUGCGCAAUGGGGGAAACUCUGAAGCAGCAACGCCGCGUGGAGGAUGAAGGUUUUCGGAUUGUAAACUCCUGUUGUUAGAGAAGAUAAUGACGGUAUCUAACGAAUAAGCACCGGCUAACUCCGUGCCAGCAGCCGCGGUAAUACGGAGGGUGCAAGCGUUAUCCGGAAUCACUGGGCGUAAAGAGCGCGUAGGCGGGAUAGCAAGUCAGAUGUGAAAUCCUAUGGCUUAACCAUAGAACUGCAUCUGAAACUGUUAUUCUAGAGUAUUGGAGAGGUAGGUGGAAUUCUUGGUGUAGGGGUAAAAUCCGUAGAGAUUAAGAGGAAUACUCGUUGCGAAGGCGACCUGCUAGAACAUAACUGACGCUGAUGCGCGAAAGCGUGGGGAGCAAACAGGAUUAGAUACCCCAGUAGUC
rnacentral:rRNA from 1 species